GGGUCACAAGGGAGAUGUCCGCCCCCAGUCGUAGCCUCGGACGGUUUCUGAGCGUUGGUGUUUGGCACGCGCCACCCUCUCUUGCUUUGGUUCCGCCAUGCCGAUGUACCAGGUAAAACCUUAUCACGGGCGCGGCGCGCCUCUCCGUGUGGAGCUUCCCACCUGCAUGUACCGGCUCUCUAACGUGCAAGGCAGGAGCGGCGGCCCAGCGCCCGGCGUUGGCCACCUACAGUCUUUGGUAGAUGAGUGGCUGGAUAGCUACAAGCAAGACCAGGAUGCAGGAUUUCUGGAGCUUGUUAACUUUUUCAUCUGAUCUUGUGGAUGUAAAGCUAUGAAACUGAUGACCUCCCUGGUAAGAGUUGCCCUCCAACUGAGUCUGCACGAAGAUAUCAAUCAGCGUCAGUAUGAGGCUGAAAGAAACAAGGGGCCAGGGCAGAGGGCACCUGAGCGGCUGGAGAGCCUGUUGGAGAAACACAAAGAGCUGCAUUAAUACUACAUUGUCAAAGACAAAGACGAACAUGAGACAUGCGAUAUGAGUUUUAAAAGGAGAGAAGAGCAAAAAAACAAUACAGCUAUCCAAGGAGCAAGUGCUGAGCUUGUGAAAAAACAGCUUCUAUUUUAUUAAAUAAUAGUGUUCCUGCAGGGAUGUCUGAAGUACUCUGCAAGGCUAAUUAGGACAGAUCAAUGUACACUUACCUCUCCAGAAGGCUGAAAGGUGUGUAGUGACUAUGUGUCAUUAAAAAUUUACUUGACCAUGGGCAACAGAUGUCCAUGAAAGAAUGACCCUGGUGAGUGCUCUAAGUUUUCAUUUUACUCAUGUCAUCCUCAAUGCAUCAUAAAUGCCAUAGACACCAUUACUAUCACGUAGGCUCAUAGCAGCUGAUGUGCUGUAUAUGCUUGAGAGGGUGGUAUCAAUUAACUAUAUUAUCUAUAAAGCCAUACUUGCAAUUACUACCACUUCACAAUUUAUCAUUAACGCAUUUGGCAGAUUUUUUUUUCUCCAAAGUAACAUUUAUUUAAAGGUUUAUCAAAAUUCUUAGAACAGCAUUUAUUAUAAUGUGAUUUUUGAUAAUUGACUAAAUCAGUGGCUCUUAAAAACACCCUCAUCUCAGUCCCGCUCAGUAUACACCACAGUGCCAUUUGGGGAAAAGAAAUACAUAUUAGAAAUGUUCAUUUCAGACCUCGUCAUGGAAGAUCAUAUAUUAAUGUAAUCAGGUGGUACGUUUACAUGCUCAUUAGUAAUCCAUCAUUAGUCCAAAUGCUCACUAUUAGGAAUAAAUGUACAACGAGUUAUUCAGAAUACCCAGAAAGAGUAUUUCUUAUUUAAACAUUCAGGACAAGCUGACUGAAAUAAGUGCACACCUUGAAUUUGAACUUUCAAGGCACAUCACUAAAGUCAAUCAGUUAUGUCAGGACACUCUUCUAUAAUAAUCUCAAUUAUAAAAUUCCUGCCUCUCCCUAACACAGGAGUUGGAGGGAGUUCCAAUAUCUGAAUCUUUCUAAUUCACUGUAACUGCAAAAAAAUCUUGAUGAAGUGUGUAUUUAAAUUUCAUGCCUUAAUACAUAGCAUGCCACUAAAACCACAUUAGUUAUGCUUUAUGCUGCUUAAUCAUACGUCAAAAUCUGUAAAAUCUGCUCUUGCAUGCUAAGGUAAUUUAACUGCAAUUAAUCAAUUAAGAAAAAUAAAAUGUAAUAAAUGCCAAA
ensembl:lncRNA STAG3L4 STAG3 cohesin complex component like 4 (pseudogene)